GAAUGCAUGGUGUAGUGGUUUGGAUGUUGGACAGUGACUCCAAAGACCAGGGUUCAAAUCUCCACUUGAGCUUA